rnacentral:rRNA from 1 species
UACGUAGGUGACCAGCGUUGUCCGGAUUUACUGGGCGUAAAGAGCGCGCAGGCGGUCGUUCAAGUCGAGUGUGAAAGCCCCCCGGCUCAACUGGGGAGGGUCAUUCGAUACUGAUCGACUUGAAGGCAGGAGAGGGAAGUGGAAUUCCCGGUGUAGUGGUGAAAUGCGUAGAUAUCGGGAGGAACACCAGUGGCGAAGGCGACUUCCUGGCCUGUUCUUGACGCUGAGGCGCGAAAAGCUAGGGGGAGCAAACGGGG